GAUGAACGCUGGCGGCGUGCCUAAUACAUGCAAGUCGAGCGAACGGACGAGAAGCUUGCUUCUCUGAUGUUAGCGGCGGACGGGUGAGUAACACGUGGAUAACCUACCUAUAAGACUGGGAUAACUUCGGGAAACCGGAGCUAAUACCGGAUAAUAUUUUGAACCGCAUGGUUCAAAAGUGAAAGACGGUCUUGCUGUCACUUAUAGAUGGAUCCGCGCUGCAUUAGCUAGUUGGUAAGGUAACGGCUUACCAAGGCAACGAUGCAUAGCCGACCUGAGAGGGUGAUCGGCCCCACUGGAACUGAGACACGGUCCAGACUCCUACGGGAGGCAGCAGUAGGGAAUCUUCCGCAAUGGGCGAAAGCCUGACGGAGCAACGCCGCGUGAGUGAUGAAGGUCUUCGGAUCGUAAAACUCUGUUACUAGGGAAGAACAUAUGUGUAAGUAACUGUGCACAUCUUGACGGUACCUAAUCAGAAAGCCACGGCUAACUACGUG
rnacentral:rRNA from 1 species